GCGUGGGUAGUUUAGCGGUUAGAAUCUGUCGUUGCCAACGAUGGGACCGGUGUUCGAUUCCCCGCUCGCGCA
rnacentral:tRNA from 1 species